rnacentral:rRNA from 1 species
GAUGAACGCUGGCGGCGUGCCUAAUACAUGCAAGUCGAGCGAACAGAUAAGGAGCUUGCUCCUUUGACGUUAGCGGCGGACGGGUGAGUAACACGUGGUUAACCUACCUCUAAGACUGUAAUAACUACGGGAAACCGGGGCUAAUGCCGGAUAACAUUUAGAACCGAAUGGUUCUCAAGUGAAAGAUGGUUUUGCUAUCACUUAUAGAUGGACCCGCGCCGUAUUAGCUAGUUGGUAAGGUAGCGGCUUACCAAGGCAACGAUACGUAGCCCACCCGAGAGGGUGAUCCGCCACACGGUAACUGAGACACGGUCCAGACUCCUACGGGAGGCAGCAGUAGGGAAUCUUCCGCAAGGGGCGAAAGCCUGACGGAGCAAAGCCGCGUGAGUGAUGAAGGUCUUCGGAUCGUAAAACUCUGUUAUUAGGGAAGAACAAAUGUGUAAGUAACUGUGCACGUCUUGACGGUACCUAAUCAGAAAGCCACGGCUAACUACGUG